rnacentral:lncRNA from 1 species
UGUCACUGAGCCGUCGGAAGCAAAUUAUGAAUAAUGUUGGUGGAAAUGGUGAAAAGACUAAAAAAAUGAAGAAAUGGAAUGGAUAGACAGGGACGCCACACUUUCUAAUCCAAGAAAGUGAUAAGUCUAUGGAUGCGAGGAUCGCCACAAGAAAUAUGAUUUCUUGAUAAGAUCAAGGUUGGUUCAAUCCAGAACCACAAGAGACAAAGCUCUCAAUACACAUAUGUGUAAAAUUCUAUAAAAUUCAACUUCCUUUAUUUCAUA